rnacentral:rRNA from 1 species
UAAGUGGAGAGUUUGAUCCUGGCUCAGAGCGAACGCUAGCGGCGCGCCUAACACAUGCAAGUCGAGCGAGAAAGAGGGGGCAACUCCUUGAGUAAAGCGGCGAACGGGUGAGUAAUGCAUGGGUAAUCUACCUAUAAGACUGGGAUAACCUUCCGAAAGGAGGGCUAAUACCGGAUAAGACCACAUGACUUUUGUUGUGGGGUUAAAGAUGGGGAUUCGCAAGAACCUAUCAUUUAUGGAUGAGCCCAUGUCCCAUCAGCUUGUUGGUAGGGUAAUGGCCUACCAAGGCUAAGACGGGUAGCUGGUCUGAGAGGACGAUCAGCCACACUGGCACUGAAACACGGGCCAGACUCCUACGGGAGGCAGCAGUG